rnacentral:rRNA from 1 species
GAUGAACGCUAGCUACAGGCUUAACACAUGCAAGUCGAGGGGAAACGACAUCGAAAGCUUGCUUUUGAUGGGCGUCGACCGGCGCACGGGUGAGUAACGCGUAUCCCACCUGCCCAUCACUUGGGAAUAACCUUGCGAAAGUAAGACUAAUACCCAAUGAUAUCCCACGAAGGCAUCGGAAUGGGAUUCAAGAUUUAUCGGUGAUGGAUGGGGAUGCGUCUGAUUAGCUUGUUGGCGGGGUAACGGCCCACCAAGGCAACGAUCAGUAGGGGUUCUGAGAGGAAGGUCCCCCACAUUUGAACUGAGACACGGUCCAAACUCCUACGGGAGGCAGCAGUGAGGAAUAUUGGUCAAUGGGCGAGAGCCUGAACCAGCCAAGUAGCGUGCAGGAAGACGGCCCUAUGGGUUGUAAACUGCUUUUAUAAGGGAAUAAAGUGGGUCACGUGUGACUUUUUGCAUGUACCUUAUGAAUAAGGACCGGCUAAUUCCGUG